GAUGAACGCUGGCGGCGUGCCUAAUACAUGCAAGUAGAACGCUGAAGCUUGGUGCUUGCACCGAGCGGAUGAGUUGCGAACGGGUGAGUAACGCGUAGGUAACCUGCCUGGUAGCGGGGGAUAACUAUUGGAAACGAUAGCUAAUACCGCAUAACAGUAGAUAUUGCAUGAUAUCUGCUUGAAAGGUGCAAAUGCAUCACUACCAGAUGGACCUGCGUUGUAUUAGCUAGUUGGUGAGGUAACGGCUCACCAAGGCGACGAUACAUAGCCGACCUGAGAGGGUGAUCGGCCACACUGGGACUGAGACACGGCCCAGACUCCUACGGGAGGCAGCAGUAGGGAAUCUUCGGCAAUAGGGGGAACCCUGACCGAGCAACGCCGCGUGAGUGAAGAAGGUUUUCGGAUCGUAAAGCUCUGUUGUAAGAGAAGAACGAGUGUGAGAGUGGAAAGUUCACACUGUGACGGUAUCUUACCAGAAAGGGACGGCUAACUACGUG
rnacentral:rRNA from 1 species